rnacentral:rRNA from 1 species
AUUGAACGCUGGCGGAAUGCUUUACACAUGCAAGUCGAACGGCAGCACGGGGGCAACCCUGGUGGCGAGUGGCGAACGGGUGAGUAAUACAUCGGAACGUGCCCAGUCGUGGGGGAUAACGUAGCGACAGUUACGCUAAUACCGCAUACGAUCUAAGGAUGAAAGCGGGGGAUCGCAAGACCUUGCGCGAUUGGAGCGGCCGAUAUCAGGUUAGGGAGUUGGUGGGGUAAAGGCUCACCAAGCCAACGAUCUGUAGCUGGUCUGAGAGGACGACCAGCCACACUGGAACUGAGACACGGUCCAGACUCCUACGGGAGGCAGCAGUGGGGAAUUUUGGACAAUGGACGCAAGUCUGAUCCAGCCAUUCCGCGUGCAGGAUGAAGGCCCUCGGGUUGUAAACUGCUUUUGUACGGAACGAAAAGGUCUCUCUUAAUACGGGGGGCUCAUGACGGUACCGUAAGAAUAAGCACCGGCUAACUACGUGCCAGCAGCCGCCGUAA